rnacentral:rRNA from 1 species
UACGAAGGGGGCGAGCGUUGUUCGGAAUUACUGGGCGUAAAGGGCGCGUAGGCGGCGACCCAAGUCAGAUGUGAAAGUCCUGGGCUUAACCUGGGGACUGCAUUUGAUACUGGGUUGCUUGAAUUCGGGAGAGGAUAGCGGAAUUCCCAGUGUAGAGGUGAAAUUCGUAGAUAUUGGGAAGAACCCCGGUGGCGAAGGCGGGUAUCUGGACCGGCAUUGACGCUGAGGCGCGAAAGCCUGGGGAGCAAACAGG